AUUGAACGCUGGCGGCAGGCUUAACACAUGCAAGUCGAGCGAGUGGCGGACGGGUGAGUAAUGUCUGGGAACCUGCCUGAUGGAGGGGGAUAACUACUGGAAACCGUAGCUAAUACCGCAUACCAUCGGAUGUGCCCAGAUGGGAUUAGCUAGUGGGUGGGGUAAUGGGUCACCAAGACGACGAUCCCUAGCUGGUUUGAGAGGAAGACCAGCCACAGUGGAACUGAGACACGGUCCAGACUCCGACGGGAGGCAGCAGUGGGGAAUAUUGCACAAUGGGCGAAAGCCUGAUGCAGCCAUUCCGCGUGUAUGAAGAAGGCCUUCGGGUUGUAAAGCACUUUCAGCGGGGAUGCGUUACCUGCAGAAGAAGCACCGGCUAACGACGUGCCAGCAGCCGCGGUAAUAC
rnacentral:rRNA from 1 species